rnacentral:rRNA from 1 species
UACGGGGGGAGCAAGCGUUGUUCGGAUUUACUGGGCGUAAAGGGCGCGUAGGCGGCCACCGCAAGUCAGUUGUGAAAUCUCUGGGCUUAACCCAGAAAGGUCAACUGAUACUGCGGGGCUAGAGUGCAGAAGGGGCAACUGGAAUUCUCGGUGUAGCGGUGGAAUGCGCAGAUAUCAGGAGGAACACCGAUGGCGAAGGCAGGUCACUGGGCCGCAACUGACGCUGAGGAGCGAAAGCAUGGGGAGCGAACAGG